rnacentral:rRNA from 1 species
GACGAACGCUGGCGGCGUGCCUAACACAUGCAAGUCGAACGGAAAGUUAGCAAUAACUUUUAGUGGCGAACGGGUGAGUAACGCGUGGGCAACCUGCCCUUCAGGCGGGGACAACAUUCCGAAAGGAGUGCUAAUACCGGAUACGACCUUUAGGCCGCAUGGUUUAAAGAAGAAAGGUGGCCUCUAUUUAUAAGCUACCGCUGAAGGAUGGGCCUGCGUCUGAUUAGCUAGUUGGUGGGGUAAAGGCCUACCAAGGCGACGAUCAGUAGCCGGUCUGAGAGGAUGAACGGCCACACUGGGACUGAGACACGGCCCAGACUCCUACGGGAGACAGCAGUUAGGAAUAUUCGGCAAUGGGGGAAACCCUGACCGAGCAAUGCCGCGUGUGCGAUGAAGGUCCUUUGGAUUGUAAAGCACUUUUAUUAAGGAAGAACUAUGUAUAUAGGAAAUGAUAUAUAUUUGACGGUACUUAUUGAAUAAGCCCCGGCAAACUACGUGCCAGCCGCCGCCGUAA